rnacentral:misc_RNA from 1 species
GAUGAAGAACGUAGCGAAAUGCGAUAAGUAAUGUGAAUUGCAGAAUUCAGUGAAUCAUCGAAUCUUUGAACGCACAUUGCGCCCGCCAGUAUUCUGGCGGGCAUGCCUGUUCGAGCGUCAUUACAACCCUCAGGCCCCCGGGCCUGGCGUUGGGGAUCGGCGGAGCCCCCCGUGGGCACACGCCGUCCCCCAAAUACAGUGGCGGUCCCGCCGCAGCUUCCAUUGCGUAGUAGCUAACACCUCGCAACUGGAGAGCGGUGCGGCCAUGCCGUAAAACACCCAACUUCUGAAUGUUGACCUCGAAUCAGGUAGGAAUACCCGCUGAACUUAAGCAUAUCAAUAAGCGGAGGA